CCUACGGGUGGCUGCAGUAGGGAAUAUUGCUCAAUGGGGGGAACCCUGAAGCAGCAACGCCGCGUGGGUGAUGAAGUUUUUCGGAUUGUAAAGUCCUGUUGUUAGAGAAGAUAAUGACGGUAUCUAACGAAUAAGCACCGGCUAACUACGUGCCAGCAGCCGCGGUAAUACGGAGGGUGCAAGCGUUACUCGGAUUCACUGGGCGUAAAGGGCGCGUAGGGGGGAUAGCAAGUCAGAUGUGAAAUCCUAUGGCCUAACCAUAGGACUGCAUUUGAAACUGUUAUUCUAGAGUAUGGGAGAGGUAGGUGGAAUUCUUGGUGUAGGGGUAAAAUCCGUAGAGAUCAGGAGGAACA
rnacentral:rRNA from 1 species